AUGCUCAUGUCUUUCGGACAGGAAUGGGCACGUGUGCUUUUGCACGAAGGAAGACUCGGAGAGGAGGACGCAGAUCACUUCUGUCCCUGCUACAAGAAGAUGGCUGUGAGGCGCUGCUGCCCACAGCUGAGUCCACCCAAGCUGGGGAAACCUGAGGAGGAGACCUUCACCCCGGCCUUGGUUGGUGCCAUUUUGGCUCCCAUGGGCAGGAGAAUGUCCCCUUGGCCUUCCCCAUCAAUAUCAGCUCCUGGAUGUGCAUUCCUUCUCCUGGACAAAACACUGGAAGAUUAAUUGGGUGCUGAACAUGAGCAGAGAGAAAGGAGAAGAGCUGAUGCAAAUCUCCCCGCGGCACCUCUGUCUUCCAGGUUCCGGUCCAGCAGCUGUGGGCUGCAGAAAGGACACAGAACGUGGACCUGGGGAUUUCUGCUUGAGGCCGAUAUCCAGCUACUUACAACUGUGUGGUCUUAAGCCUCAAGGGCCCUUCUUUUCCACCCAUUAGGUUGUCGUGAAGAUUAAACAAUAUGGCAUUUGAGAAUUGCGCUGCGAUUUUCAGAGCAGGGUGUCGUUGCUAUUUUCAGAUAUGGACACAGUCUUUGUGAGUGAGAUGCUUCUGUAGUACAACAGAUAACCUUCCCUGAGCUACUCACAUUCCAUCCUGGAGACACUGACAGGUCUCUGGGGUCAGCAUCGGGCUUUGAGGACUCAC
rnacentral:lncRNA from 13 species